CUUGAGUGAUGUUACACUCUCUCCAUUGUUCACCAGCCCUGUGUGGCUUACCAAAGCCUGGUGUCAGUCCCAACUAGGGUACUGGCUAAGCGGCUGGGUUUAAAGAAUGAAUUCGGGAGGACUGGAGCUUUCUGUUUUGGCUAAGCAUCUGUAGACUGUAGCAGUUAGUUGGACCUUAGCAUCCUAGGGAGCCAAGACCUUCUGAAGAAGUAUGCCAGGAAGGGAAUCUUGGUUGCUGUAAAUCCUAUUAUCAAAUAGCCAACUGCCUUCAGUAGAACUUGCUUCCUUGAGCUGGGCCCUGAGGGAGGACACCUGGGUGGGGAUCACCUGGCAAUAGGAUAGCCCUUAUCUCUGUAUUAGAAGUGUCUGUUUCAGUCAACACUGGGAGAACAAGCUGAAUUAAGAUGCUGAGACCAACAUUGACAACAAGCCCACAUCAACACAGGGAAUUUCUGAAGAAAGAGAGGUGAUGAUAUCAUGUAGACUGCCGAAGAGUUUCUCAAGAACCUGACUUUCCAGAAACAUGUGAACUGGAGAAGCACCAGGAAAUCCCCACAGUGAAAAACAUUAAAAGAAAGGAUGAGAGAAUCCACUAUGCAAGGAAACCCUUCGGAUGUGAGGAGUGUGGGAGAUACUUCAUCUUUUUUUCUUACUAUAAUUCGACACCAGAGAGUCCACACUGGAGAGAAACUCUAUCCACAUGAGGAGUGUGGGAAAUCCUUCAUGGCAAUUCUUCAUUAAUUCAGCAUCAGAGAAUCCACACUGGAGAGAAACCCUAUCAGUGUGAGGGGUGUGGAAGAGCCUUUAAUAACAGUGAAAGUCUGAUCAGGCAUCAGAGAGUCCACAGUGGGGACAGACCCAAUCUCUGCAAGAGGUGUGGAAAUGGCUUCCCCAGUAGUUCUGAACCUUGUUAUACAUCACAGAAUCCAGACGGGAGAGAAACCCUAUGAAUGUAAUGAGUGCGGCAAAAGCUUUUUCUGUUAAGUCAACAUUAAGUCGGCAUCAGAGAAUCCACAGUGGAGAAAAACCAUAUGGGUGUAGCAAGUGUGGGAAAACAUUAGGACUUCCUCCCAGCUACAUCAUCUUGGGUAUGCCCACCCUAGAAAGAAGCCUGUCCUGGACCUUGGUUCUUUUGGCCUCCCAGCAUUUUUUUACCCCAUUUUCAUGGUAAUUUACUGCCCUACUUUUUGGGAAAAUACCACUCUGCCCCAACCACAACAGUUCAUGUGGUUUGGGUGAGGCUCUAUUCCCUACUGCAAAGGUGGAACAUGUAGCCUAGUCUGGCCCAUCUGUACUGUUCCUUCCACCCACCACAAUGGUGGGUUCAGGCGACCCAAAUUCAUCCAAUCAGAAUGGACUCUUUGACUGUGCAAAACCUACCACGAAGUGACAUUCUUUUCUGCUGGACAUGGAUGUUAGCCUUGACCCACGUGAAGGCUGAGAAGAAAGCCAGCCCUGCAAACAGAGAUGGAGAGAACUAAACUUGCCUCUGGAUUUUUCAGUGAUGUAAAUCAAAAAAUUAAAUUCUUUGCUUAAAUAGU